rnacentral:rRNA from 1 species
UCGCCUGUUUAUCAAAAACAUAGUUUUAUGUAUUUAUAUAAAAUAUUUUCUGCCCAAUGUUUAAAAAAAAUCAAUGGCCGCAGUACCUUGACUGUGCUAAGGUAGCAUAAUCAAUUGGCUUUUAAUUAAGGUCUAGAAUGAAUGGGAUAAUGAAGUUAAUCUGUCUUAUUUGCUUUUAUUAAAAUUUAUUUAAAAGGUGAAAAUACCUUUUUUUAAAAAUAAAGACGAGAAGACCCUUAGAAUUUUUAUUAUUAUUUUUUUGUUGGGGCGACAGUUUAAAAAUAUAAUCUUAAAUUUAUUGUAUAUAACGAUUUUUUUAAUAGAAAUUAAAUUACCUUAGGGAUAACAGCAUAAUUAAUUAUUUAGUUUGUGACCUCGAUGUUGGACUAGGAACUAUAUGGCUAACCGUCUAAUUAGAUUUGUUCUGUUCGAACAAUUUUAUCCUACGUGAUCUGAGUUCAGACCGGA